UUAAGUGGGCAGGGUCAAUUGAGCGGAACAAGAGAGACCUGUCCUUGGACCAAGCGCAAAUGUUUUUUAUGGAAUGGUGACUUGGGGUUUGGUUUAGGGAUGAUGUUGUAGUCAGGACUGUAGUAUUUAAAUAUAAGUUGUGCAUUGUAAACCUUAAUUUUUCACCGAUAAUACAAAGGAGUCGGAGAUGUAGGCUAUAUUGGCUGGACUUGGUUACCAAACAUCAUAUGUUCAUUCUUUUCGUUUAUUGUUUCUUUAAUCGUUUGAUUUUUGAACCAGUUUGUUGUUCUAACAUACUUAUCGGCAACACACCAUGUUUAAAUUGGUAGAAAAGUCAAUGUAAACUGUCACAUAUUCCACUCAAAUCUUUCUCUUGUCUCUAAUGAAGUUGGAUGGCAUAAUAAUAAUUAAAACCAUUGAGACAACUCUGUAUCAAGAACUGAAGGAAUAUAGGGAGUUGAUCCUG
rnacentral:lncRNA from 1 species